GUGUUCGUAGAAAGUAGAGAUGGUUGGCAUCUCCUCAGAUAGGGACGGGAACAACAUUCGGGCUUUACCUGUUAUCGAUCAGACACAUCUCUGUUAAGGCUAUCCACUUCAGUAGAUAAUGUUAU